UACGAAGGGGGCUAGCGUUGCUCGGAAUCACUGGGCGUAAAGGGCGCGUAGGCGGCCACCGCAAGUCGAUUGUGAAAUCUCCGGGCUUAACCCGGAAAGGUCAACCGAUACUGCGGGGCUGGAGUGCAGAAGGGGCAACUGGAAUUCUCGGUGUAGCGGUGAAAUGCGUAGAUAUCGAGAGGAACACCUGCGGCGAAGGCGGGUUGCUGGGCUGACACUGACGCUGAAGUGCGAAAGCUAGGGGAGCGAACGGG
rnacentral:rRNA from 1 species